UGAAGCAGGGUGACGUGAAGGACGUUUGGGACUGAAUGGUGUGCAUGCUUCCCCAUGUCAGUACAUAAAACAGGACUGCAGGAGUCCCCGUAUAGAAUAAUAGAAUCGUAAAACAAUUUAUGUUGGAAAACACCCUUCAGAUCAUCAAGUCCAGCCAUCAAUCUAUCACUACCAAGUCCACCACCUAACCAAGUCCCUAAUCAUCACACUCACAUACAUCUGAAACACCACCAGGGAUGGUGACUCCACCAUUGGGUUCAACAGCUUCAUGAAGAACAGCCUUCAACAUUCUCUGUGACGCCAGCCCAGGAUGCCUGGUUCAGAGGCUUCCCUUAGAGAGUGCCCCAGAGCAGAGCAUCUGUGCUAGCAUCAGGAGGUGGGUCCUGCACUCCCAGGGACCCCUCAGCAGCUCUGCAGUACUUUAGUCAGGAUGCCACUUUGGGCAGGCAGUGUUUAAAGUGUUACCAAAAAGUCUUGGACUUGUAGCACUGGCGGGGAUCUUGUCACUGAGGAAUACCAGCUGAGAGAGCACUUUGCCUUCUGUAUCAGCUGUUUGGUUUUCCAGUAUGGAUGGAGGACUGUUCUUCAGAGGCUGAGCCUCAUUUGCAUCUGGUUCCUCUCAUCAGACUGCUACAUUCAGUAACCUUCAGCUUACAAAGCAUUUCUCAAUAUUUUAGAUUAUAAAGUCUGGAUGGCUAGGAAAUAAGCACCACCACAAGUAAAUAAUAAAGACGUGAAUCUGGAAUAUGAUCCUGCACCGGACAUGUUAAGCAUCUUCUCCAGAGGAAAGCCAUCCAGCUUGGAAUCUGUAGAAUUCUUUUGGUUAAAAGAACUUGAUCUCAAGCCUCUUUCUUUCUCCAAGUCAUACUGUCAGGAUUUAGUUUCACAGACCAUUCACUACUUUGUACACUCCUCACAAAUAUCACCUUGGAAGGAGAUUUAUCUCUCUCUACAGAGAGAGAAACGCAAGCUGCUUCAAUUUUAUCUAGUUGUCAUACUGUGUGUAUUACGAACUACCACUUCAGUCCACUUCUUGUUCCAUCAAAUGGCUUCAAAGCAGGUGAUACAUAGAUGGUCAAGGAGGAAAGCACUUCAGGGCAAAGUGUGUUCUGAGCUACACUUGUAAAUGAGCAGUAACUUUUGAUUUCAUUGCAGUAACACUGGUUUCUACACCACUAUAUUUAUCUGUCACUUUAUUUUUCUCUUCCAUCAGAGAGAUUUGUAGACAUAUUGUAUUUAGAGACGUUGUCACGCUGAAAAAUAAAACUACUACCCAACAUUUUACUAGUUAGAAUUAAUUUGACAUGCAACUUAUCAUUUUGCAUAUCACUGGACUAUAGCCUUUUCAAUUACACCAUUUCUUUGCAACUCCAAUUAAACUGUUAAUUGAUGUCACUAUUGUCAAAUUGCAAGCAUUUUUUUACAUACAAAUAGCAAGGAAAAAAGAGAGAAGAUCCAGAAUUAAUAGAAAAUAGCAGCAGGUUUCCAGUCUCAGACUACUUUCUGUAUCUUUAUAAGACCACUAUACUAUGCUGGCUGAGAGUUGCAAGAAAAUAUGUACUUAUAUAUUUUGUUAAUGAUAGCAUCGUUCUUGUGUGCUCUGAAAUUAGGACACUUUCUCAAACAAAGGCUGUACAACCAAGUACUAACAGGACUCUUGGGUAUGCUUCAGAAGCUAGAGCUAGAAUUCUUCAAAGCCUGCCCAAAGAGAAUGUUUCUCAACCUCUUCCUAUAAAAAAAAAAUUCUGGAAAAAAAAUUUAUAAAAACAGCUGAACAACCAAUUCUAUUGCUUGCCCUCUGCAACAUCAGCAUCAUGGUGCUCAUAUCCAAAGAAGCCAAAAUAAAUUUUCUGUACCGG
rnacentral:lncRNA from 1 species